AUGUAAUAUUUAAACUACGAGGUACAUACCACUUUAACUAUUCUUCGAAGUUGGAAAAUUUAAGUCCUUUUAUCUUCAAAAUUCUGCACAUGUUAUAAAAAUAUCGCGACAACACUUCGAGGGAUCAGGGAUGUUCGAGUACAUAAACGAACGAUAAGGGACAUUCAGAGACACAUAAAGACAUUGUGUUUCCACAUACUGGUAAUGGCUUAAAAUUUUCUUUAAAUUUCCUAGAAUUACAGUAAUAUCACAGGUAAUACGAAAGACGUUAAAUUUAUUCACAGAUUUAUUUGAUCAUAUGAUUUGAUAGAACACUGGUUUGGGAGGCUCUUUGCGAGGCGAAAGAAACGAGAGGCGAAAACGGAGAGCCUCUGGUCACAUCGAUUGCAAAUCCCACUUCGGCCUGGACUAACAUCAGUUUAGUUAAUGUUUAAAACACAUUUCCCCUGAAAAAAUCUUCUUGAAACAUGAUUAAACGCUUUUUUGCACC